CCAGACUCCUACGGGAGGCAGCAGUGAGGAAUAUUGGUCAAUGGGCGGAAGCCUGAACCAGCCAAGUCGCGUGAGGGAAUAAGGCCCUACGGGUCGUAAACCUCUUUUGCCGGGGAGCAAGGGCGGGGACGUGUCCCGGCCCGGAGAGUACCCGGAGAAAAAGCAUCGGCUAACUCCGUGCCAGCAGCCGCGGUAAUACGGAGGAUGCGAGCGUUAUCCGGAUUUAUUGGGUUUAAAGGGUGCGUAGGCGGGCUUUUAAGUCAGCGGUAAAAAUUCGGGGCUCAACCCCGUCCGGCCGUUGAAACUGGCUGUCUUGAGAUGUCGAGAGGUAUGCGGAAUGCGCAGUGUAGCGGUGAAAUGCUUAGAUAUUGCGCAGAACUCCGAUUGCGAAGGCAGCAUGCCGGCGCCACACUGACGCUCAUGCACGAAAGCGUGGGUAUCGAACAGGAUUAGAUACCCGUGUACG
rnacentral:rRNA from 1 species